rnacentral:lncRNA from 1 species
GUGAUUUCCAUUAUUCUGUCUUCCAAGUCACUAAUUUGUUCCUCUUCAUUAUUCAUUCUGCUCAUUAUUGGCUUUAGCUCAGUUUGUAUCUCUGCAAAUGAAUUUUCUAGUUUUCCUUGGCUCCUCCUUAUAUUUUCUAGUUCCUUUCUAAAGGAAUCUGCAUUACUGUUCAUAUCCUCUCUAAUUCCUUCAUUAUUUUCACUUUCUCCCUUUUGAAUUCAAUGUCUGUCAGACUGCAGAGGUCUGUUUCAUUGUUGAUUGCUUUAGGUGAAUUCUCCUGUUGCUUUAACUGGGAAUGGUUUCUGUGCUUCUUCAUCUUGCUUGUGUUUUUCUUUUUCUAUGAGUUUGGGGAAGCCAACCUAUAGUUUUGUAAGGCUACUUCUAUGCAAGAGUACCCCUUUGUAUUUUGGGGGGAAUUACUAUUUGUCUUUGGUGUGGGAGUUUGAAUAUUUGUUGUCUCUUUCUUUGGUGUGAGCAGGCUGUUGUCCCCAAGAUGUUCAGUGUGUUUUCAGAGAGAAGGAGGCAAUGGGUAGAGCCAGCAGUUAGUGUCUUGUUGUUGGGCUUUCAAUAGCAGCAAGGACCUGCAGGAAGGUGGCACAGGCUACUCCUAGUUGCAAGGCCCUGGCAAUUGGUAAUGAGCUCUAGGCAGAUCUACAAGGUGACCAGAGCAUUUGGCAGUAGCAGCAGCAGGGUGCGUGAGUUCCCAGGGGAGUGAGAGCAACAAUAGCUUGUGUUGGAAUGCAGUGCUCUCCUCUGAGUGGAUUGGAACCGCAGGUGGUGCCUGUUCAGGAAGUCUUAGUGGUAGCAGGCCAUGACCACCUCUGGAAUCGGUGGUAACUGCAGUGGUUUGCUCCUGCCACUUGUAGACCUUGCAUGAAGCAACCUGUCUCACUUAGCCCACAUUGGAGAUGCUGCACAGGCUGCUCCUAGUUGCAGGAUCCUGGAAACUGACAGAGAUCAGGCGUGCAGGUAUAUCCUGGAGCGUUUGGCAGUGGAAGCAGCAGGAUGGGUGUGUUCCCAGGGGUGUGGGAGCACCAACAGGUGGUGUUCGGUCAUGGUGCCCUCCUUGGUGGUGCCCUUGAGGUGAAUGGGGCUGCAAGUGGUAUUUGUUCACAGACCCCAAUGGUGGUGAGCCACUCCCACCUCUGGAGCCAGAGAUAAAUGUGAUUUGUCCCUGCCUCCUGUAGACCAUGCAAGGAGCACUUUGUCCUGCUUAGCCCCACAGGAAGUGCUGCACAAGCUGCUCCUAGUUGCAGGUUCCUGGGAAGGGGCAGUGAUCAGGUGUCUGGGAACUGCCCAGAGUGUUUGGCAGUGGCAGCAGCAAGGCAGGUGUGCUCCCAGGGGAGCGAGAGCAACAACAGGUGGCAUUCUGUCACAAUGUCCUCUGUGGUGCCGUCUGAGGUGGUUGGGACUGCCAGUGAUUUUUUUUCAGGUAUCCCUGGUGGUGGUGGGCCACACCCACCUCUGGAGUCAGAGAUAACUGCAAAGGUUUGCCCCUGCCACCUACAGACCAUGCAAGAAGCUCUCUGUCCCACUUAGCCCACACAGGAGGUGCUGCACCAGCUGCUCCUAGUUGUAGGGUCUUGGAAAGGGACAGUGACCAAGUGCCUGGGGGUCACCCAGAGCAUUUGGCAGUGGCAGCUGCAGGGCAGGCGUGUUCCCAGGGGAGUGAGAGCAACAGUGUAUGGUACUUGGCUGCAGUGCCCUCUUUUUUUCUUUUCUGCCAACCCCUGAGGUGACUGGGGUUGCAUGUGGAGCCCACUCACAGGCCCCCAGUGGUUGCAAGCCACGCCUCCCUCUGGCCUCCAAGGUGACUGCCGCAGUCUGUCCCUGCCACCCGUAGAUCAUGCAAGAAGUACCACGUCGCACUAGCCCCCUGAUACUCUUAGCCCACACCAAUAGCCUGGCCACCAGUAGCCUGAACAAGAAGCGCCCAGUCUCCCCUAAACGAGCAAGAGGCUUCUCUCCAACUGCAGCCUGCACCAGAGCCGCCCUGCCCUCUGAGCGCCCAUAGGCAUGCGCACACUCUGGUGAAGGGAGUUUCCUAUGGCGGUCCACACCUCAUCCUCUUGCCCUCCUCAACAAUGAGCCUAAGUCUCAGCGCCCAGCCCCUGCCCAAGUGUCUCAGGCUGUGGUGACUGGGCCUGGUGGUUCAGAUGAUCUGUGCGGCUCUCAUUCUGCUUUGCUUUUCUCAGUCCAGCUGCUGCACUUUUCUCAGCAACUAUGAGGUCCCUCUUACUUGGCUGAUUUUCCAUCAGUUAGGUGGCUUCCCAGGAUGUGGGUUCCUUUCCUCCUUCACAGCUCCCUCUCGGGAAUGCUAGUCCUGUCCUGUUUCCUUUUCUCUGUCUCUCUCUUUUUCUUUUGUUCUGCCCAGUUACAUCGAGUUUCUUGCCCGUUUUGAAGGUUUUAGUUCUGCCAGCAUUCAGUUGAUGUUCUGUGUGAGUCAUUUUACAUGUAGAUGUGUUUUUUUGAUGUGUUUUUGGGAGAAGGUGAGCGUGACCUCUUACUCCUCCACCAUCUUGGUCCCAAGUGAGAGUUCUAUCUCACAUUGGUAUUUGCCAACAGACAGGGUUUACAUAUUGUCCUUGUGUUCUGCUUUAUUCAUUUGUAUGCUGGUGGAAACCCUCACCAAGAUCUAUAGCUUGGUGGUACAUUGAUAACCAUAGUGCCUAGCUAGCAUGGUUCCCAGUCUCCACUAGGUUUUUAUCUAAUGUGGCCAUGCCAGAAAGUGAGAGAUUAUUUUCCUGUCCAUUCUACCUGGAUCUCAGAUCUCUAAACAAUGCUAUUAUCCUUAUUCUGUUUGGAAAACAGGGCCAUUCUUGAAUCUGUAAGAUUCUUCUUCCCUCCUCAACAUAAUUUUAUUUGAGGUAAGUAAUCUUUGUAAGAUACCGUAUAAUUUCUGUCAAUCAGUUUUUAAAUUGUUUUUUAUUACCUGCAGAAGCUAACUGUGUGUAUAGGAGAGCUAAUAAGGGAUGGGGAAAGUGGCCCUCUAAGUGCUACAAAAAUCAGUGCUUAUAUUGAUGAUUCAUAAAGACUUUGGGAGCAAGUUGUUGCAAAAUGAGGACUGUCUGCUUUCAUGUGAGCAUUUCCCCCUAUUUCUGUUUGAAGGGUUCUGGUGGGUCCUAAGUUCCAUUUUGAAAUCCAGUUCCAAUGGCUCCUAUGUUACUAAGGAUGGCCUUAUAAUACAUGUAGAUUCUGGGUUAUGCUCCACUUUUUGGCAUGUUCCACUAAUCAAAUCCCAGUCAAAACCAUGUAAUGGAUAAGAGUGAGAGUGUUACUAGAGAGAUACUGCAAACCUAGCAUUAGUGUAUUUUAAAAGUAUAACUUCCAGAAUUUGGUCUUUAGCUACUAUUAAUGACAGAUUAUUUAUAAUAUACCUCACAAUGGAAAUGUACCAGCAUGUCAAGAAAUCAUAGUUGAGAACUUACAGAAUGAAACAUGGGUAGAAUCUUAAUAAUUUAGGCAUUUCAAUAGUUUAGCCUCCAACCUAAAUGUCCUAUACUAUUAUGUUCUCUAACCAGCAACAGUUGAGUCAUUAAUAGGCAGAAAAGGGGGGGGACAAAAUGGUAUCUUAUAUUUCCUAUCAGCCCACCCUCAAAUCUGUAAUAGUUGCUAUGGCAAUCAAUUGCUCCUCUGGUAAGACAACAUUACCAAUCUUUGAUAUUCUCUGUCACCAUUCUCUUUCGAUAACUCUUUACAUGGCCUCACAUUGUGAAGUAUUUCUUGUUCAAUCUGCACAACUGUCAGAGUAUUACGUUUGAAACAGAAUUCUGAGCAUAUUAUUUCACUGCUUAAAAGCCUUCAAAGAUUGGAAGGAUGUUAGAGUGAAAGUAAUGUCUUCCCAUGGAGCAGGUAAAUUUAGAGCCUUUAUUGUUCAUAUCUGUUGCUUCCACUUUCCCCCUUUCUCUCCUGUCCCAGGAAGCCAGAGUGACACACCACAGGUAGGAGAUUGUCCACUGUCUCUGUCUUAUAUACAAGAAAAGCCGUAUAAAUAUUGAUAUUUGGGGGUUCCUCAAGAAAAUGGCUUAACUCCUGUGCUAAACAGCCCAUAAGCAAGCCUCCAGUGAUCCAUGAUGCUUGAUAUUCAGGCCCACGUGUACUGUCUUUUUUGAUUAUGGGCUGCACUAAGUGAUUCCCUUCUAAUGAAUAGAAUAUGGCAGAAGUGAGGGGAUGCCAUUUCCAAAAUGAGGUUACAAAAAGACAAUAGCUUCUGUCUUGGAGACUCUCACUCUCUCACUAAAUCACUCUGAGAGAAGUCAACUGCCAUGCUGUCCCAUCAAGAAGCUUGAGUGUCAAGAAACCAAAAGCCACCAAGGACUGAAGUUCAUCAGCCAUCACAUGAAUCAGCUUGAAAUUGAAUCUUCCCCCAGUAUUGCUUUGAGGUAGCUGCAGUCUCUGCCAAAAUCUUGAUUUCAGCCUUUUCAGAGAGACUCUGAGCCAAAAGGCAGGCCCAAAUUCCUGACCCAGAAAAGCUGAAAUGAUGAAUAUUUGUUUUAAGCUGCGAAUUUAGGGGUAAUUUUUUAUACAGUAAUAUAUGAAUAAUAUAAUCAUUACUCAGUAACCCCACGAUGAGGGCUGUUAAUCAAUAAACCCAAUAACCCACCCAAGGUUUCCUUUGCUUUUUUACUGUUUUGCUUUUAAACAUGAAUAAUUGAGAAAAUGGGGGAGAAAAUUUGGGGAAUGAUGGUUAUGUUAAUUUUCUAGAAUAUAAUGGUGGUUCCAAGGGUGGGGUGUGUAUGUCAUAAUGUGUCAAAUUAUUUUAAACAUAUGCAGCUUAUUAUGUGAUUGAUAAUUUUACCUCAAUAAAGCUGUUAAAAUAUAAAUAGAGCUAUAAGAUGAACCAAAAAGAAAAAAAAAAAAAAGAGAGACUCUAAUAGACAGGGCGCCAAAUAAAUAAAAUGUAAAAGUCACUCAGAGAAAACUGAACAGUGCAGAAAGAUAGAGGAAAAGUUUAAAAAAUCUAUAAUAAUUGUAUUCUGAGAAAUAAAUGAAAAUUUUGUCAUCCAUGAAAAAUGGAGGCUAUAAAAAAAUAGAAUGAGAGAGUUCUCAGAAAUUAAAAAUAGUGGAAGCUGAAAAUUCAACAGAAGGUUUAGAAGAUAAUGUUGAAGAGAUCUCUCAGAAAGUAUGAUAAAGACAAAGAAAAGAAAAAUGGGAACAAGAAGAUAAAAUUAGAGGCACAAUUCGAUAGAUUUAGCAUUUGCAAGAAGAGAAUUAUGAGUGUGGAGGGGAGAGCAAUGACAACAAAGGGGAGUUAUUUAUCAGUGAUUUUUUUUUUAAAUAUUAGAAGUAAACCUGUAUUUAUACAUUUAAGGGGCCCAAAGAGUGCUCCAAAAAUAAAGUUAAAAAGACCUACCAUAAGGCAGUUUGUUAGUUAUCCACUGCUUUGUAAUACAUGGCUAAGACAUGUAAUAACUAAAAAAUAAAUAUACAUUUAUCAUCUCACAGUUUCAUUGAGUUAGGAAUCCAGGCAUAACAGCUGGGUUCGCUGUUUCAGAGUCUCUCACAAGGCUGCAGUCGGUGUUGGCCAGGACUAAGGUCCUAUCUGAGGGGAAAUUGGGGAAGACUCCAUUUCCAAGAUUACUUACAAAUUAGGCAGGAUUUAAUUCCUUGUAGGUUAUUAGACUAGACUGUCUCAACAAUUUGCUGGCUUUUGGACAUAGAUCAUCCUUAGUCACUGGCCUAGUAGACCUCUCCAAUAUGGCACCUUGAUUUACCAAAUCAUAAAUGCCAAGAAGGUAAAAAAUAGAGUAUGCUAACAAGACAGAAGUCAUACCUAAUCAUGGAAAUGUUAUCCCAUUACCUUUGUCAUAUUCUAUGGGUUAGAAGCAGAUCAUUGGGCUACCCCAUACUCAAGAAGAGAGACAUACACAGGGCAUGGGUAAUAGGAAGUGGGACUACUAGGGGCCAUCCUGGAAAUCUGUCGACCACACACUUCAUUUUGAAAAUUGAACUAACAAAAAGGAAACUGAAAACUUGCUGUGGCAGAACCAUUAGUGAUCACAAAACAUGUCGUGUUUUUUUAAUAAUUUUCAUUUUUGCUGUUAUAGCUGGUUUACAGUGUUCUGUCAAUUUUGUCAUCCCCCUCUCCCCCAAGAAGACUGCCUUGAAGUUAGAUGAGUAGUAGUUCUUACCCAGGAGUGACUUUGCUUCCCUGGAUACCCCUGCCAUAUUAACAGACACUUUUGGUUGUCACAGGUUGGGGGUGUUAUUGCCACCUAGUGGGCAAAAGCCAGAUAUAUUGCUCAAUAUCCUACAAGGCACAGGACCCCGCCCCAUCCCCCCCAACACACACACAGGAAGGUAAUAUCUAGUCCAAAUGUCAUUAUGGUGGAAGUUUGGAAACCAUGGGUUAGAAUCAUACAUUUUUUUGCCAGGUACCAUGAGCAAAGUAACAUGACACCUCUGAGCCGAAGCA